rnacentral:rRNA from 1 species
CCCUUAGAUGUCCUGGGCUGCGCGCGCGCUACACUGAUGUGUCCAGUAAGCACCUAACCUCUUCCGAAGGGAACGGGUAACCUUAGCAAAGCACAUCGUGAUGGGGAUAGAUUAUUGCAAUUAUUAGUCUUGAACGAGGAAUUCCUAGUAAGCACAAGUCAUCAGCUUGUGUUGAUUACGUCCCUGCCCUUUGUACACACCGCCCGUCGCUCCUACCGAUUGAAUGUUCCGGUGAAUACUUCGGACUGCGAGGUCUGCAGUUUCUGCGUUCCUUGCGGAAAGUUGAAUAAACCUUAACAUUUAGAGGAAGGAGAAGUCGUAACA